rnacentral:rRNA from 1 species
AGUGAACGCUGGCGGUAGGCCUAACACAUGCAAGUCGAACGGCAGCACAGUAAGAGCUUGCUCCUACGGGUGGCGAGUGGCGGACGGGUGAGGAAUACAUCGGAAUCUACUUUUUCGUGGGGGAUAACGUAGGGAAACUUACGCUAAUACCGCAUACGACCUACGGGUGAAAGCAGGGGAUCUUCGGACCUUGCGCGAUUGAAUGAGCCGAUGUCGGAUUAGCUAGUUGGCGGGGUAAAGGCCCACCAAGGCGACGAUCCGUAGCUGGUCUGAGAGGAUGAUCAGCCACACUGGAACUGAGACACGGUCCAGACUCCUACGGGAGGCAGCAGUGGGGAAUAUUGGACAAUGGGCGCAAGCCUGAUCCAGCCAUACCGCGUGGGUGAAGAAGGCCUUCGGGUUGUAAGGCCCUUUUGUUGGGAAAGAAAAGCAGCAGGUUAAUACCCCGCUGUUCUGACGGUACCCAAAGAAUAAGCACCGGCUAACUUCGUG